rnacentral:rRNA from 1 species
GACGAACCGUGCAAACGUUGUUCGGAAUCACUGGGCUUAAAGGGCGCGUAGGCGGGCAGCCAAGUCAGGGGUGAAAUCUUUCGGCUCAACCGGAAAAUUGCCUUUGAAACUGGCUGUCUCGAGGGAGGUAGGGGCAUGUGGAACUUCCGGUGGAGCGGUGAAAUGCGUUGAUAUCAGGAAGAACACCCGUGGCGAAGGCGGCUCUCUGGGACGGUACUGACGUUGAGACGCGAAAGCGUGGGGAGCGAACAGG